GGUGUUUACUGUCGAACUGAACACUCUACCGUUUACUGUCUGGUGGUGCUCUUCACCGAGUGUCACCAGUGGUCGGUACGUUUACUUUGAAAAAAUUAGAGUGCUCAAAGCGUUUUUACACGACCGAAUACUGUUGCAUGGAAUAAUGAAAUAGGACUUUGGGUUCUAUUUUGUUGGUCUCGGAACCAAGGUAAUGAUAGAGGGACAGACGGGGGCAUUAGUAUUGCGACGCUAGAGGUGAAAUUCUUGGACCGUCGCAAGACUAACUAAAGCGAAAGCAUUUGCCAAGAAUGUUUUCAUUAAUCAAGAACGAAAGUUAGAGGUUCGAAGGCGAUCAGAUACCGCCCUAGUUCUAACCAUAAACGAUGCCAACCAGCAAUCAGCCUGUGUUCUCUUGAUGACACGGCUGGCGGCUUCCGGGAAACCAAAGUCUUUCGGUUCCAGGGGAAGUAUGGUUGCAAAGCUGAAACUUAAAGGAAUUGACGGAAGGGCACCACCAGGAGUGGAGCCUGCGGCUUAAUUUGACUCAACACGGGGAAACUCACCCGGCCCGGACACUGUGAGGAUUGACAGGUUGAAGCCCUUUCUUGAUUCAGUGGGUGGUGGUGCAUGGCCGUUCUUAGUUGGUGGAGUGAUUUGUCUGGUUAAUUCCGAUAACGAACGAGACUCUAGCCUACUAAUUAGACCGUGGCGUCCUCGUGCCGCCACGGCGCUUCCUAGAGGGACAGACGG
rnacentral:rRNA from 1 species